AGGGAAUCUCACCCAUGCUACAACAAAGGUCACCGUAUCGUUGUUGAUGGAGAAAGUCGAUGUCCAUGGUUGCACUAUUAGGUAGUGUUCGUAGAUAACUCAUGGACCCCCGGUGAGUGUAUGCAUGAAAUCAUUGAGGUCAGUGAAUUUUGCGUAGUCAUUAUACAUAUCAAUGAGUUGGAAGGUUCCUGUUGGUCUCUAAAGGUUCUAGAGGUAGCUAAGUAAGGCGCAAUAGCUAAGGGAUUUGCUCAAGAAUCAUAUAAUCACACGAUGUUUCAUGGAUU
rnacentral:lncRNA from 1 species